rnacentral:rRNA from 1 species
ACCCAUCAGAGGGGGAUAACACUUGGAAACAGGUGCUAAUACCGCAUAACAGUUUAUGCCGCAUGGCAUAAGAGUGAAAGGCGCUUUCGGGUGUCGCUGAUGGAUGGNCCCGCGGUGCAUUAGCUAGUUGGUGAGGUAACGGCUCACCAAGGCCNCGAUGCAUAGCCGACCUGAGAGGGUGAUCGGCCACACUGGGACUGAGACACGGCCCAGACUCCUACGGGAGGCAGCAGUAGGGAAUCUUCGGCAAUGGACGAAAGUCUGACCGAGCAACGCCGCGU